rnacentral:rRNA from 1 species
GAUGAACGCUGGCGGCGUGCCUAACACAUGCAAGUCGAGCGAACGGACGAGAAGCUUGCUUCUCUGAUGUUAGCGGCGGACGGGUGAGUAACACGUGGCUAACCUACCUAUAAGACUGGGAUCAGUUCGGGAACCCGAAUCUCAAACCGGUCAUGAUUUAGAACGGCAGGGUUCAUCGGUGAAGACGGGUUUAGAUGUGCCUAAUGCUGGGUACCUAGCUGCAUUAGCUAGUUGGUACGGUAACGGCUUACCAAGGCAACGAUGCAUAGCCGACCUGAGAGGGUGAUCGGCCACACUGGAACUGAGACACGGUCCAGACUCCUACGGGAGGCAGCAGUAGGGAAUCUUCCGCAAUGGGCGAAAGCCUGACGGAGCAACGCCGCGUGAGUGAUGAAGGUCUUCGGAUCGUAAAGCUCUGUUAGUAGGGAAGAACAUAUGUGUGAGUAACUGUGCACAUCUUGACGUUACCUAAUCAGAAAGCCACGGCUAACUACGUG